CCUGCCUGUCGGUUCCCCUCUUCGCCGCCGCCCUUCUAUAUAAUGCCCCGAACCCUAGCGGCCGCACUCCCACACCUCCCCGACUCCGCCGUCACCUCCCCCUCCGCCUCCUUCCCACGCCGCCUCCGCUCGCCGCCUCAGCGGUUUGAGGUUCACCUGCAGCCAUGGGUAAGGAGAAGACCCACAUCAACAUCGUGGUCAUUGGCCACGUCGACUCUGGCAAGUCGACCACCACCGGCCACCUGAUCUACAAGCUUGGCGGUAUCGACAAGCGUGUGAUCGAGAGGUUCGAGAAGGAAGCCGCUGAGAUGAACAAGCGGUCCUUCAAGUACGCGUGGGUGCUUGACAAGCUGAAGGCUGAGCGUGAGAGGGGUAUCACAAUCGAUAUCGCCCUGUGGAAGUUCGAGACCACCAAGUACUACUGCACUGUCAUUGAUGCCCCCGGACACCGUGACUUCAUUAAGAACAUGAUCACGGGUACCUCCCAGGCUGACUGUGCUGUACUUAUCAUCGACUCCACCACUGGUGGUUUUGAGGCUGGUAUCUCCAAGGAUGGCCAGACCCGUGAGCAUGCUCUCCUUGCCUUCACUCUUGGAGUGAAGCAGAUGAUCUGCUGCUGCAACAAGAUGGAUGCCACCACUCCCAAGUAUUCCAAGGCCCGUUAUGAUGAGAUCGUGAAGGAAGUCUCCCUACCUGAAGAAGGUGGGAUACAACCCUGACAAGAUUGCCUUCGUCCCCAUCUCUGGUUUUGAGGGUGACAACAUGAUUGAGAGGUCCACGAACCUUGACUGGUACAAGGGGCCAACCCUGCUUGAGGCUCUUGACCAGAUCAACGAGCCCAAGAGGCCUUCAGACAAGCCCCUUCGUCUCCCCCUUCAGGAUGUGUACAAGAUUGGUGGUAUUGGAACCGUCCCUGUUGGGCGUGUUGAGACUGGUAUCAUCAAGCCUGGUAUGGUUGUGACCUUCGGUCCCAGCGGCCUGACUACUGAGGUCAAGUCUGUCGAGAUGCACCACGAGGCUCUCCAGGAGGCCCUUCCUGGUGACAAUGUUGGCUUCAACGUGAAGAACGUUGCUGUGAAGGAUCUGAAGCGUGGGUAUGUGGCCUCCAACUCCAAGGAUGACCCUGCCAAGGAGGCUGCCAGCUUCACCUCCCAGGUCAUCAUCAUGAACCACCCUGGGCAGAUUGGCAACGGUUACGCCCCAGUGCUGGACUGCCACACCUCCCACAUUGCUGUCAAGUUCGCCGAGCUUAUUACCAAGAUUGACAGGCGGUCUGGCAAGGAGCUAGAGAAGGAGCCCAAGUUCCUCAAGAAUGGUGAUGCUGGUAUGGUGAAGAUGGUUCCCACAAAGCCCAUGGUGGUGGAGACCUUCUCUGAGUACCCUCCUCUUGGUCGCUUUGCUGUCCGUGACAUGAGGCAAACGGUUGCUGUUGGAGUCAUCAAGAGUGUGGAGAAGAAGGACCCAACUGGCGCCAAGGUUACCAAGGCUGCUGCCAAGAAGAAAUGAUGUGCCUGUGGUUUAUUGUGUGUCUGCUUUUUGCUAUAGCGCCAAGGUUACCAAGGCUGCUGCCAAGAAGAAAUGAUGUGCCUGUGGUUUAUCGUGUGUCUGCUUUUUGCUAUACCUAGAUGCCGUCGUAUUAACGCAUAAGUUUUGUCUGCAUGUCAUUGCUGUUAUCCUUGAACAUCUAAGGUCUGCUGGUGGUGUGUCAUCUGUAUGUUUAGGUACUGUCUUGUCAACUUCAGCUUCGGCAAAACUUGAAUGCUCUGAGAUCUAUAUUUGCCCUUCUGCGUGUUGUCAGAUGUAUUGUCAGGAGUCGUCUAGUUGUCUUUAUACA